GUGCCAGCAGCCGCGGUAAUACGUAGGGUGCGAGCGUUGUCCGGAAUUAUUGGGCGUAAAGGGCUCGUAGGCGGUUUGUCGCGUCGGGAGUGAAAACAUCGGGCUUAACUCGAUGCUUGCUUUCGAUACGGGCAGACUUGAGGUAUGCAGGGGAGAAUGGAAUUCCUGGUGUAGCGGUGAAAUGCGCAGAUAUCAGGAGGAACACCGGUGGCGAAGGCGGUUCUCUGGGCAUUACCUGACGCUGAGGAGCGAAAGUGUGGGGAGCGAACAGGAUUAGAAACCCGGGUAGUCC
rnacentral:rRNA from 1 species